CGAAGGGUGCAAGCGUUACUCGGAAUUACUGGGCGUAAAGCGUGCGUAGGUGGUUUGUUAAGUCUGAUGUGAAAGCCCUGGGCUCAACCUGGGAAUUGCAUUGGAUACUGGCAGGCUAGAGUGCGGUAGAGGGUAGUGGAAUUCCCGGUGUAGCAGUGAAAUGCGUAGAGAUCGGGAGGAACACCAGUGGCGAAGGCGACUACCUGGACCAGCACUGACACUGAGGCACGAAAGCGUGGGGAGCAAACAGGAUUAGAUACCCUGGUAGUCCACGCCCUAAACGAUGCGAACUGGAUGUUGGGAGCAACUAGGCUCUCAGUAUCGAAGCUAACGCGUUAAGUUCGCCGCCUGGGGAGUAUGGUCGCAAGACUG
rnacentral:rRNA from 1 species